rnacentral:rRNA from 1 species
GACGAACGCUGGCGGCGUGCUUAACACAUGCAAGUCGAACGGUGAAGGGAAGCUUGCUUCCCGGAUCAGUGGCGAACGGGUGAGUAACACGUGGGCAAUCUGCCCCAGACUUUGGGAUAACUACUCGAAAGAGUAGCUAAUACCGAAUAUUCAGCCUUGCAGGCAUCUGCGAGGCUGGAAAGUUUCUCGGUCUGGGAUGAGCCCGCGGCCUAUCAGCUAGUUGGUGAGGUAAUGGCUCACCAAGGCGACGACGGGUAGCCGGCCUGAGAGGGCGACCGGCCACACUGGGACUGAGACACGGCCCAGACUCCUACGGGAGGCAGCAGUGGGGAAUAUUGCGCAAUGGGCGAAAGCCUGACGCAGCAACGCCGCGUGCGGGAUGAAGGCCUUCGGGUUGUAAACCGCUUUCAGCAGGGAAGAAGCGAAAGUGACGGUACCUGCAGAGAAGCACCGGCUAACUACGUGCCAGCAGCCGCGGUAA